UAUAACCUAUUAAUUUAUCUUUUUUUAUUUGUGUUAAGGACGAUUAACAGCAAUGAGUUAAGUUUAGAUUGAGCUAUGUGAAAAUACGGUCACUCAUAUGGCAGAGUGUGAAGUGUAAUGGAAACUAAAUUGAAUUGAAGAUUUUUAUGAAUAUCCGAAUAGGCUAAGCGGCGGUUACUUGUGUAGGUGAAAGCUGUUCGGAAUGAUAAGCUUAACAACAUAUCUGAAGAUCAUCGAAAUCAAUAUUAUCGAAUUAUCCAGUCAUCCUCUUGAAAUAAAUGAAUUCAGGUAGCAGCAUUGUACGAAUAACAUGUCAAUUUCUACUAAGCUUACGUGAGUUGCUCGUUCGUGUUCGCCUGACUGCACCAGUCAAGUUUAUUGCAUCAGUAAAACAUUUCGUUCGUAACGAUGAUUCUCUAAUUGUUUUAAACAGUGUAAUCAUUCACCCUAUCUGUUUCUCAAAUGCUAAUUCUGUUUAACUAUUCAAUUGGUCAUUAUUCUGUCUACUGUUUUUGAUCACAACGGACUCACAAAGCAUCUGCCAGGAAAUAGACAGCGUUGCUGAACUACGUAUAAAGGCUUUUCUGUUUCUACGUAAUAAUGCAAAGAUUGCACAUUGUACGAAUCGUUUGAGAAGAUUCAGCUUUUCGAAUGGAAGCUUCUUAUGCAAGAUGGAUCGUAAUUCGUGGCACAAGCGGAGCGAGAGGAGUGAUAUGGUUAAAAAUAAGGCGAAACUUGAGAUUGAAACGUUCCCUCGCAUAUUGGUAGAAUGCUAACAGAUUGUCGAGACAAUCUCUACCAUGGCAUGGACUCUCUCUCCCUCUCAAUGUCUCAAUUAAAACAACAGACCAAAUUUUAUUUAUUACGUUCGUUGUGUUCAUCGCCCAGCUCGAAGAAUUAAUUAAUAAUUAAGUAUUGACAGCGAAUAAGCCAAAUAAGCGAGGACUGUGGCCUAAAAAGCAGAGGAAGUUACAAUAGCAGUCUGUGAUGAAAUCCGUGAGGCUAAUCACGUGUCAUUCAGCGGAUCUUCAAACGCGUUUCUCUCGAAAGCGAAGCCACCAACUUAAUCUUGUUAUUUCUAAUUCACUUUCAUUCUGGGCCAUAGAAUUUUCCUUGCUCUGCUUCUAUCAUGUUUGCUGACGCGAGAUGUAUAUUCUGCAUUUUCCUUCCAUAUUAUUUCUUAUACACAGACAGCACAGGUUCUUAUCUCUUUCCAUCUAAUAUGUAAUUCUUGCCAUUUCAUUCUUUUAACGCUGUCUAUUCGUUAAACGGCGUUUCCGUACUCUUGUUUGAUAAAUUUUUCGCCAUGGAGACAGUCGAAGCUUCGUCAAAUUCAAUAUAUUUAAAACACAAUCUUCUUUCUUGUGACGUUGAUAACUUUGUUCGCACUCCGAUGCUGAUGCAUCGGAACAACAAUUUUUUUUUCUUUUUUGGACUACAGACUGGCUAACAAUCUAUUUCUUUCUUUCGCAAUUUUUCUUGUGCAGAUUGAGACAGGUAAAUUUGAUUUUGAAAUUAUUUUAUUCUCGACUUCCUCGAUAUUGGUUUCAUGUUUGGAUAGAGUUUGAUUCUCGGUUAUCUUUAUGGGUCCUAGUGACCCACAGUUUUACUUUGGAAAGAAAUAUCUCCAAGAUAUUCGCUUAUAAUUGCAUUAUGUGUGCAAUAUUAUUAGUUUAAAAUGUUUUUUAUAAUCUCUGACGAUUACACCGUUAAAACUUUCUGCAGUCGUGUACAGAAUGUCGUGGCAACUCUCCACAGUUAGUAAUGGGUCUUGUUGACCCAGGUGUGACAAAAACGUAUUUUUUGCUCAGAUCGAACAUAUUUCAUUUAUGUGCAAAUUUUCCAUACAGAUUCUUGUGCAUUCAUCGUGGAGGAACUCAUUGAAAUCUUUCUUAUCUCCUUUUAAAACACAAAUCUACCUAUCUAUAAAUAAAAUUCAGAAUUUUUGUACCUUUUGUGUCCGAAUGACUUGACUUUUUCAUAUAAUUGCCUCAGUUUUCUUAUUUGAAAAUUGCUUUUCUUCGACAUGUCAAAUGAAUAUCUUCUUUGAAACAUGCACUAGAAAGCCAGUUUUUCCCCUAGAGCACCACAUCUUGAAAGCACCAUCGUAGAUGUUUAGCGAGGGAAACAUAAAGAAGUUAUCGCAUAACUUUUCAUAAAAAUAUCUUUCUUCGAAACUCGCAGGUGAGAAGAUUUUUUUCAAGAACGAUUUUUAAGAACAAACGUUGUUUGUUAACCUUCCUUUUGUCAAAAAAUAUUCUAGGACGUUUAAACUAUCCUUAAAUUUUCUCCAUUCGAUAUCACUGUUAUUUUUAAUUAAACAACAGCUACUUGAGAAUCGAAAAGGGCCCCUGUGUCUGAAACAAGAGUCGAUUUACUAUCAGUGGAAAAGAACAAAUUGCAGUUCAGCAGUAAGAUCAUCAUCUUGUGGAAAAUACAUUUCUUCCGGUGGCAGUACUUUUACGCAAACAGUAGGCAAUUCUGAAUGGCACAGUUUUGAUUAGGCUAAUUAAAAAUGGCAUCAUAGUAUUACCAGAAUAUCCAUAAUAUAUCCAUAAUAUGAUAUCAUAUUAUAAGCAGCGCGAUAUAAAAUGUUUAGAAACAAAAGUCUAUGUACGUUUCGUACUGGCAAGUGGAUGUUGAAAUAUUUCAAUUUCGGAUUAAAAUAGACUUACGAAGUUUUCCAAAGGUUGCGUAACAACUUUAUCGUCUGAUCUCGUGUUUCGAAAAAUGCUAGAUAAUAAAAAAGAGAUUAGAGGGUAUAAAGUCUGCGAGAUGAAAAACAGAAAUAGAAAGCAAACGAUUUAACUCUUGAGAAUUUCGUUGCACGUGCCUAUCGAGAUUUUGUGAUGUAAAAAACAGCGUGACUAAUUGUUAAAUGAUAAGAUAUUUCGCUGAUUCCAGCUCGAAUUGAUGUGUUAUUGGAUGACGGUGCAAAGACGUUAAAUUGAAAUCGAGUCUUGAAAAGUACCAUAUUUUCAAACGAAAUGGCAAAAUGUUUGAUUACGUUGAAAGUAUAGGCAGUUUACGAGCACUUAACGCAGUUAAUGUGUUUUUCUUGCGCAUCAUGCUGUAUCACACUAUAUAUUCAUGUGCAUAUCCAACAAAUCAGGAUUCUAAUACUUAUAAACCGAGCAAGAACGUAACCGUUAUCGAGAAUAAAAAAAUGUUCACAAUUAAAUGUGAAAAUAUUACUAAGCUACUAUUGGGUUGGCAACUAAACAAUUGCGGGUUUUGUUAAUACCACCUAAUGACAAAGUGCGCAGUCACUUAGUUGCCAACCCAAUAUAUCUCGCUAUAGUAAUAAGAGACGAUCUUUGCCACUAAUUGUUACGUUUAAGACUACUGCUCAAGCUGUAUACUGAUUUUCUACUAAUUGCAAGUGCACAUUUGUCUUGUAACUUCUGCGUACAUUUUCUGAUUGCUUUCAAAUGUUACUACAUUUAGAGUAAAAAAAAAAAAAAAAAAAAAAAAAAAAUAUAAUA